rnacentral:rRNA from 1 species
UACGUAGGUGGCAAGCGUUAUCCGGAUUUACUGGGUGUAAAGGGCGCGUAGGCGGGAUAUCAAGUCAGUCGUGAAAUACCGGGGCUCAACUCCGGGGCUGCGAUUGAAACUGAUAUUCUUGAGUAUCGGAGAGGAAAGCGGAAUUCCUAGUGUAGCGGUGAAAUGCGUAGAUAUUAGGAGGAACACCAGUGGCGAAGGCGGCUUUCUGGACUGUAACUGACGUUGAGGCGCGAAAGCGUGGGUAGCAAACAGG